rnacentral:lncRNA from 1 species
UAUGCUCCUACUACAAACAUUCAUACAUUCCUUGGAUGGUUUGAUGGAAUUCCAUUUAUUGGUGGUGCUGGUGAAGGCAAAAGUCACAUAGCAGAGGGUUUAAGUACAGCUAUUCAAGUUUUUGAUGAUUUCAGUAAAAAGAGACAUCCCAGUAUCAAACCACAGUGCCAUUGUAUAUUAGUGACAAAUUCUCCACCAUAUCAGCUACCAAGCUAUCAAGUAAAGAAUUAUGCUGGUCAUACUUGCGAAGAUCUUGUCAAAAUGAUG